AUUUUUAUAAAUAAAAUCUGCUCCAUGAAAAUUAAAUAGCCGCAGAUCCCUGUGCUAAGGUAGCAUAAUCAUUAGUCUUUUAAUUUUAGACCAGUAUGAAUGAUUUAACAUUUUAAUUAACUUUUUUAUUUUAUAUAUUUAACUUUAAUUAAAAAUUAAAAUGUUUUUAUAAAUAAAAAAGACGAUAAGACCCUAUUGAACUUUACUAAAGUUGAGCUGGGGAAGCUAAUUAAUAACAAUUUUAAUAUAAUUUUAUAAAGAAAACCCCAAUAAAAUUGAAAUUAUCAAGUUACCAUAGGGAUAACAGCGUAAUAUAUUUUAAAAGCUCCUAUUUAAAAAAAAGAUUACGACCUCGAUGUUGAACUAUUUUACCUAAAAAACGCACCGUUUAAUAAGGGGGUCUGU
rnacentral:rRNA from 1 species